AUGGAGGAGGAGGGGACCAGGCUACCAGGUGAAUCCAUUGUACCUAGUUUUGGAGAAAAACUAAAGAGACUUCGAAAUGCCAGCGUUCCGGAGGGGUAGACCCCUGUGAGCAGAGCCAGCUGGCUCCAGAUCGUGGGAACUGCAUCUUCUCCAGGAACAUCACCGCGUUGCCAUGUCUCUGCUUCCUGUUUGCAUCUGUACACUCAACUAAACCACUGCGGGUAUUUCUAGAUGGUUUUACGGCACUGAAAAUCUUUAACGGUGUGCAGAAAUGCAUUUGUGAACGGAUUUAACAUGCUCCCGAGGACCUGCUCAGUACAGCUGUGAGGUCGCCAAAUGUUUCUUCCUUCUUCUGAUUAACAAUCAUUCGAGUUUGUGUCUGAAUUUUGGUACAGAUAUUUUUACGCAGUAUUUUAAUGCUUAUCUAUUAUUAUUUAUUUUGUACUACAUUUUAUGUAGGAAACGAGAAGCCAAAUAUUCAGAUUACAUAAAAGGCCGGCAUUUCUUGACAAACUGCCACUAAACUUUUAAAGAAAAAACGUGGAAUUGAAAUCAUUUCGUGUUUUUCUAACUUUAACUACGAAAUUUCUUACAACAAACAUCCCCGUGCUGUCAGGCUAUGUCUCCCAUAAUUAACAUCACUUCCCAAAAGAAGGGCCAACUCUGAGGGCUACUGAUAUGUUUCAGAGGUAAAUACUGCCUCCAUCAUCAGGAUGAUGACUCAUCACAACAUCCCAGAAGACAGUCAUCUUCACAUAUGUGUUAACAGAAGUGGAAUUGUGGGUGUACGUUCUCAUACGCUUUUCUAUGGCAUGGGACGUGUCAGCACUCUUGUUUUCAGCAUCAUUGUAUUUGUGAUUCAUACAGCUUGAAAGUGUAGCCGUCCGUCUGUCAAUACUCUUAAUGGCAUCUCUGUGUCCACUUCAUUCGUCAUCAGAAACGUUGAUCAUCAGUCAGUAGCCCUCGUCUGUGCUAAUGGUGUCUCAGGAAGGACAAUACAUGUCACAGAAACGGAAAUGGUUAAAAUGU